UGGGGAAUAUUGCACAAUGGACGGAAGUCUGAUGCAGCAACGCCGCGUGCGGGAUGACGGCCUUCGGGUUGUAAACCGCUUUUUCUCAUGACGAAGUUUUUUGACGGUAGUGGGGGAAGAAGCACCGGCUAACUACGUGCCAGCAGCCGCGGUGAUACGUAGGGUGCGAGCGUUGUCCGGAAUUAUUGGGCGUAAAGAGCUUGUAGGCGGUUUGUCGCGUCGAUAGUGCAAACUCAGUGCUUAACGCCGAGCCUGCUGUUGAUACGGGCAGACUAGAGGAAGGUAGGGGAGAAUGGAAUUCCCGGUGGAGCGGUGGAAUGCGCAGAUAUCGGGAGGAACACCGGUGGCGAAGGCGGUUCUCUGGGCCUUUCCUGACGCUGAGAAGCGAAAGCGUGGGGAGCGAACAGG
rnacentral:rRNA from 1 species